rnacentral:rRNA from 1 species
AGGGAGCUUGCUCCCGGAUGUUAGCGGCGGACGGGUGAGUAACACGUGGGUAACCUGCCUGUAAGACUGGGAUAACUCCGGGAAACCGGAGCUAAUACCGGAUAGUUCCUUGAACCGCAUGGUUCAAGGAUGAAAGACGGUUUCGGCUGUCACUUACAGAUGGACCCGCGGCGCAUUAGCUAGUUGGUGGGGUAAUGGCUCACCAAGGCGACGAUGCGUAGCCGACCUGAGAGGGUGAUCGGCCACACUGGGACUGAGACACGGCCCAGACUCCUACGGGAGGCAGCAGUAGGGAAUCUUCCGCAAUGGACGAAAGUCUGACGGAGCAACGCCGCGUGAGUGAUGAAGGUUUUCGGAUCGUAAAGCUCUGUUGUUAGGGAAGAACAAGUGCGAGAGUAACUGCUCGCACCUUGACGGUACCUAACCAGAAAGCCACGGCUAACUACGUGCCAGCAGCCGCGGUAAUACGUAGGUGGCAAGCGUUGUCCGGAAUUAUUGGGCGUAAAGGGCUCGCAGGCGGUUUCUUAAGUCUGAUGUGAAAGCCCCCGGCUCAACCGGGGAGGGUCAUUGGAAACUGGGAAACUUGAGUGCAGAAGAGGAGAGUGGAACUUCCACGUGUAGCGGUGAAAUGCGUAGAGAUGUGGAGGAACACCAGUGGCGAAGCGACUCUCUGGUCUGUAACUGACGCUGAGGAGCGAAAGCGUGGGGAGCGAC